CAUAGAUUACGCGGACUGUUAGGAUUAUUUGUUGAACUAAUUGUUGUUUACAUAUAUUAUGUCUUAAUUAUGUAUAUUUUUAUUCAUUUACAAAUUAUAAAACAUGGUUUAAAAUAAUUAUUUUCAACAGAACAAUUUAAUUUUAAGUGAUUUUUAAUAAUUUUUGUUUGUUGGCGGUAUUGAGUUUCACAAGAGGCAACAGAGAACUCUGCUGAAGUUGAUGACCAAGAUAUGGGUUCUAAACGUAAGGAUAGAUCUGAAAAAACAGAUGAAGGGGAAAAAAAGAAAAAACAUAAAAAGGUCAAAAUAAAAGAAGAAACCGCUAGUGAUAUUGAAAUUGAAGACUCCAAAGUUAAAGAGUCAGAUCACAUAAAUGUUUUCAAAGAAGAGCCAAUAGAACAUGUCGACCAUGAAGAUAAUGAAACUAUUAAUAUGCGUGAAGAGGAUCUAUCAGAGCUUUUUACUAAAAUAGAACAAGUUCU